rnacentral:rRNA from 1 species
GUCUAUGGCCAUGCCACCCUGAACAAGCCCGAUGUCUGAUCUCAGAAGCUAAGCAGGGUCGGGCCCGGUUAGUACUGGGAGACCAGCUAGGAAGACAAGGUGCUGUAGGCA